rnacentral:misc_RNA from 1 species
GAUGAAGAACGCAGCGAAAUGCGAUAAGUAAUGUGAAUUGCAGAAUUCAGUGAAUCAUCGAAUCUUUGAACGCACAUUGCGCCCCCUGGUAUUCCGGGGGGCAUGCCUGUCCGAGCGUCAUUACAACCCUCAAGCUCAGCUUGGUAUUGGGCCCCGCCGACCCGGCGGGCCCUAAAGUCAGUGGCGGUGCCGUCCGGCUCCGAGCGUAGUAAUUCUUCUCGCUCUGGAGGUCCGGUCGUGUGCUCGCCAGCAACCCCCAAUUUUUUUCAGGUUGACCUCGGAUCAGGUAGGGAUACCCGCUGAACUUAAGCAUAUCAUAAGCGGAGGA